rnacentral:lncRNA from 1 species
GCAAAUCCUGGCUCACCCCUCACUAGUCACAUAUCAAAUCCUGUCUCACCCCUCACUAGUCACAUAUCAAAUCCUGUCUCACCCCCUUACUAGUCACAUAUCAAAUCCUGGCUCACCCCUCACUAGUCACAUAUCAAAUCCUGUCUCAUCCCUCACUAGUCACAUAUCAAAUCUUGGCUAACCCCUUACUAGUCACAUCGAAUCCUGGCUCGCCCCCUUACUAGUCACAUACCAAAUCCUGGCUCGUCCCCUUACUAGUCACAUAUCAAAUCCUGGCUUGUCCCCUUGCUAGUCACAUAUCAAAUCCUGGCCGACCCCUUACUAGUCCCGUAUCAAAUCCUGGCUGACCCCUUACUAGUCACACAUUGAAUCCUGGCUCACCCCUCACUAGGCACAUAUCCUUGGGCCUGUCACUUACCCUCUUUGAGCCUCCAAGUCCCAUCCACUAAACGGAGCUCAACUUAGCAGGAAUUUCAUCCGAUGAGAUAAUGUAUCCAGGACACAGUAAAUACGCAGUUACCUUUUCCUUCCCACCCCACCAACAAAUACAGAUAGCACUGAAUCGCCCAGGCCCUCUCAUG